UCAAAUACCUUCAAUUGAUCUUAUUAUCAAAUUUUACUUUUAUUUUCAGUAUCAUGUUCCACUUUACAGUACUUUUGUUAACUUCGUUUUUGGUUCAAACGCAAUCAAGAGUGUUCAUCAAAAAUCAUGAAAAACCAGAAAAUAACUUCAAACUAGCAGAAAGAUCUUUGAUUGUCAAUGGUUUUAAUGCACCAGUAGGGCGACCAUUUUUUGCUUCAGUCCUUUUUAGGAAUUGGAAAACAUUUUGUGGUGCCACUAUUAUACAUCCAUAUUGGGUAAUCACCGCUGCACAUUGUGUUUCGGCCCCACCUGUUGAAGACAUCUUCAUUUUGUUGGAUGCUGGACAAGUGGUGUAUCCUAGCAAUCCGAUUCUCCGACACAAUACGGUUCACAAAAAAAUUAUUCCAUCCAGCUUCGAAAUAAGAGACCAAUACUUCAAGAACGACAUUGCUCUUCUUAAGUUGAAUCAUCCGAUUUUGGACCAGAAUCGCAUUUUACCAAUCUGCUCCCUCAAUCCCGUUUAUGGCGGGUCGGAUAUUUUAGGGGCUCAAGUGGAAUGGGUGCUACGUCAAAACAGAUGCAAGUUUUUCCCGCCAUUCUGCAGG